GCACUAAUCCCCCCAGGGGAACCUGGCCCUUAAUUCGAUAAUCCACGAACUUCUUACCUUUAUCUAGAUAAGUAUAACUUGUAAAGAAGUUUCCUUAAACAGUUUGCAUACCGCCGUUUUCAGCUUAUAUCGCGAGGGGAUAGUAAUAGGCUAUAAAGUAGCUUAUAAUGAUUAUAAGUUGCUGUAAAUUCAGGUAAACGUGUAGCCAAUGAAAAGGGGUGAGCUGGGUUACAGUUGGGGUUUGAAGUAGCGUGUAACCUUAAAAGGUUUAUAUAAAAGAGUACUUGGAAGUAAUGAUCUUGGGCAAAGAGGUCGUGAAUAGUGCUCUAGUGUGUGU
rnacentral:rRNA from 1 species